GGAGGAGGAGGAAAAUAUUUGAAUUAACAUAUUUUUAAAAGAUCUGGCACCUUGAUAGAGCUCUGUCCUUUCAUUCUCAGAACACCGAGAAGGGGUGACGACUCAGAUUCCGCACCCCGUGCGCGGAUGUUUUGUACAAGCUCAGAGAAUCCCUCUUCGCCACAGCAGCCGCGCCCUAGCUCCAGUCUGUGUCCUCGCCUCCCCCACGGCCCGCAAAGGCUGGCCUGCAACUAAGGAGCACACAGAAACCACCAAGGAAGAGAAAUGGGAAACGCCGCGGCCCGCCGAAGCCUCGCAAGUCUGCGCGCCCCAAGCCGAAGGCCUGGUCUCGCGGACGCUCAGGCCCCACCGUCUUCGCGCUCCCCGCUGGAGAUAGGGUCUGACGCACGCCGCCCUGCGAAGCAACAGUAACCAAGGAUAUGAGGAGCCGGGGCGAACAGAUGGCAGCUCCCGGCGGCACUGCUCCUCCGGCCAGCUGCGCAACUCCUCCAGGGUGCUCUAGCCUUCCUCGGACAUGCGGCCACCUGAGACGCCAACUUCAAACCACUCUCACCUCAGCCAGGACCGGAAGUCCAGCCAUCCCGGCAAGCCUUGCGAGACCUCAUCUGGACUGAAUCCUAGAGAGGACGCGGCCUAGGCUCCAUGGCGGCCAAGAGGGAAACCGGGCCUAUCUGGUUCCCGGGAGGAAUCCACUCAGUGAUGCGCACUUCCUGAAGCAGAGGACUUCAGAACUCUCCAGACCACUUGCCUCCCAAGCCUGGGUUGCUGCAGACUUUCCAUUAUCUGGCGCUUGGGGAAGGGUCAAAUAAAAGAGAAUCAAAGACCUCUAAAAAAAGUCUUUGGAAACAUCUCUAAGUGUUCAUAGUGGUGUAUAAGCAGCCAAAGAGAAAUUCACCUCAGUGGAACUAAUUGAAUAAUUGAGGUAGGUUUCUGUGUUUAAUCAAAUUUUAUCCAGAAGUUGGGUCUGCUGUGCAUUUAAUAUGAACAUAAACUUUCAAUUUAAUUUCACCAUAGAAGACCAUCUAUAUAAAUGAAUUGACACCCCAUGAGGAUGGAGCUUUGACUUUAGAUUCCUCAAAAGUAUCAUCAGCUUCAGAAUGUCAGAAAUGAAAACAAAAGGAG
rnacentral:lncRNA from 1 species